UACGGAGGAUUCAAGCGUUAUCCGGAUUUAUUGGGUUUAAAGGGUGCGCAGGCGGAAUGUCAAGUCAGCGGUAAAAUUUCGGGGCUCAACCCCGUCGUGCCGUUGAAACUGGCGUUCUUGAGUGAGCGAGAAGUAUGCGGAAUGCGUGGUGUAGCGGUGAAAUGCAUAGAUAUCACGCAGAACUCCGAUUGCGAAGGCAGCCUGCUGGACUGUAACUGACGCUGAUGCUCGAAAGUGUGGGUAUCAAACAGG
rnacentral:rRNA from 1 species